rfam:Picea glauca, whole genome shotgun sequence.
AUGUACAUUCCUACUGCAUGGCGUUAAUGCACCGGAUCCCAUUAGAACUCUGUAGUUAAGCGUGCUCGGGCUAUAGUAGUACUGGGAUGGGUGAUCUCCUUAGAAGUCCUAGUGUUUUACAUG